CCAUUCACAAACAGAUGCAAAGUCAUCAUUGGGACCCUCACUUAAUAGUUAUUGGGCCUAAUCCCAUCCUUAUCCUGGAGCAACUCUUUACUAAUAAGAUGAUUGUGUGUUCUCGAUGCAACUGAACCAUUAUGACCAGCUGAGAAUAAUCAACACCAAUACCACACCCGCACAUCUACAAUGGUGGAAGAUCUAUAGACUUAAUAUUUAUGGAAAGGUUUAAGUUUAGGUUUCAUCUAAUCAGUCGUCAUAUGAUUGAUCUAAUUGACAUGGACUAAACCAAACUGUCAAUCAACCUUAUUGAAGAUUCAAUCUUCUAAAUUGGCUAGAUA
rnacentral:lncRNA from 1 species